rnacentral:rRNA from 1 species
GAUGAACGCUGGCGGCGUGCCUAAUACAUGCAAGUCGAGCGAACGGACGAGAAGCUUGCUUUUCUGAUGUUAGCGGCGGACGGGUGAGUAACACGUGGAUAACCUACCUAUAAGACUGGGAUAACUUCGGGAAACCGGAGCUAAUACCGGAUAAUAUUUUGAACCGCAUGGUUCAAAAGUGAAAGACGGUCUUGCUGUCACUUAUAGAUGGAUCCGCGCUGCAUUAGCUAGUUGGUAAGGUAACGGCUUACCAAGGCAACGAUGCAUAGCCGACCUGAGAGGGUGAUCGGCCACACUGGAACUGAGACACGGUCCAGACUCCUACGGGAGGCAGCAGUAGGGAAUCUUCCGCAAUGGGCGAAAGCCUGACGGAGCAACGCCGCGUGAGUGAUGAAGGUCUUCGGAUCGUAAAACUCUGUUAUUAGGGAAGAACAUAUGUGUAAGUAACUGUGCACAUCUUGACGGUUCCUAAUCAGAAAGCCACGGCUAACUACGUG